AACCGUGCAAAGGUAGCGUAAUCACUUGUCCCCUAAUUAGGGACCCGUAUGAAAGGCUAAAUGAGGAUGAAACUGUCUCUUGAGACCAAUCAAUGAAACUGAUCUCUCAGUACAAAAGCUGAGAUAUAAAUAUAAGACGAGAAGACCCUGCGGAGCUUCAAGCCAAAAUGCUACUGCACAUACAACGCAAGCCCUACCAGGAUUAACAACCCACAAUAGUAAAAGGCUUUCAGUUGGGGCGACUGCGGAGAAAAACCAAACCUCCAUGAAAUCGGGCUAGCCGCCACCACGAAACACACAUGUUAUCCGGUUAAACAUUUGACCCAGCACAGCUGAUCAUCGAACCAAGUUACCCCAGGGAUAACAGCGCCAUCCCCCUCAAGAGUCCCUAUCGCCAGGGGGGUUUACGACCUCGAUGUUGGAUCAGGACACCCAGGUGGUGAAGCCGCUACCAAAGGUUCGUUUGUUCAACGAUUAAUGUCCUACGUGAU
rnacentral:rRNA from 1 species